UACGUAGGGGGCAAGCGUUGUCCGGAAUCAUUGGGCGUAAAGCGCGCGUAGGCGGCCCGAUAAGUCCGCUGUGAAAGUCAAAGGCUCAACCUUUGAAUGCCGGUGGAUACUGUCGGGCUAGAGUCCGGAAGAGGCGAGUGGAAUUCCUGGUGUAGCGGUGGAAUGCGCAGAUAUCAGGAGGAACACCCAUAGCGAAGGCAGCUCGGUGGGACGGUACUGACGCUAAGGCGCGAAAGCGUGGGGAGCGAACAGG
rnacentral:rRNA from 1 species